rnacentral:rRNA from 1 species
AUUGAACGCUGGCGGCAGGCCUAACACAUGCAAGUCGAGCGGAUGAAGGGAGCUUGCUCCUGGAUUCAGCGGCGGACGGGUGAGUAAUGCCUAGGAAUCUGCCUGGUAGUGGGGGAUAACGUCCGGAAACGGGCGCUAAUACCGCAUACGUCCUGAUGGAGAAAGUGGGGGAUCUUCGGACCUCACGCUAUCAGAUGAGCCUAGGUCGGAUUAGCUAGUUGGUGGGGUAAAGGCCUACCAAGGCGACGAUCCGUAACUGGUCUGAGAGGAUGAUCAGUCACACUGGAACUGAGACACGGUCCAGACUCCUACGGGAGGCAGCAGUGGGGAAUAUUGGACAAUGGGCGAAAGCCUGAUCCAGCCAUGCCGCGUGUGUGAAGAAGGCCUUCGGAUUGUAAAGCACUUUAAGUUGGGAGGAAGGGCAGUAAGUUAAUACCUUGCUGUUUUGACGGUACCAACAGAAUAAGCACCGGCUAACUUCGUG